rnacentral:pre_miRNA from 1 species
UCUUAUGCAUGAAUAAAAAAAAGUUGUUUCCUGAGAUGGAAUCUGUUCCUGGUGAAGAAGCUUUGAA